rnacentral:lncRNA from 1 species
AAAGAUAUUCAUCAAGAAAUCAUUCAUCUUUGCACUACAGGCCAAAGAUAUUCAGUAAUAUCAUCAUUUAGGACUGAGGAUGAUGAAAAAUAUUUUAAAAAAAACGAAUCCAGUGAAACAAAAGAACAAGUAUUAAGGAUUCGUACUUUAAAUAAUCCAAGUUCAAAAAUACUUUAUAAAUAACCAGAUUGGAGUAAAAUUCAAGAAUGAAG